GCUGGGACUACAGGCACCUGCCACCAUGCCUGGCUAAUUUUUUGUAUUUUUAGUAGAGACGGGGUUUCACCAUGUUAGCCAGGAUGGUCUCAAUCUCCUGACCUUUCUAUUAUCCUCCCAGUCCACAACGCUGAACCGUGGCUGGAUGAAUGUUUGAGGUCUGUUUUGCAACAGGAUUUUGAAGGCACCAUGGAGCUGUCUGUUUUCAACGAUGCCAGUAAGGACAAGUCUGGGGCUAUCAUUGAAAAAUGGAGAGUGAAGCUGGAAGAUUCCGGUGUCCACGUGAUCAUUGGGGGGCACGAUUCUCCUUCUCCCCGAGGCGUUGGAUACUCUAAAAAUCAAGCAGUUGCCCAGAGCUCAGGGUCUUACCUUUGCUUUUUGGAUUCGGAUGACGUCAUGAUGCCCCAGCGGGUGAGGCUGCAACACGAGGCUGCCGUUCAGCACCCGUCGAGCAUCAUUGGUUGCCGAGUGAGGAGAGAUCCCCCUAACUCCACCGAACGAUACACACGUUGGAUCAACCAGCUGACGCCCGAGCAGCUCCUGACCCAGGUUUUCACCUCAAAUGGCCCCACGGUGAUCAUGCCCAGCUGGUUCUGCUCACGAGCGUGGUUCUCCCACGUGGGCCCCUUUGACGAGGGAGGUCAGGGCGUCCCAGAGGACCUGCUGUUCUUCUACGAGCACCUCAGGAAGGGCGGCGGCGUCAUCCGCGUGGACCAGAGUCUCCUGCUUUAUCGCCACCACCCACAGGCAGCCACGCACUCCAUCCUCGAAUCUGGGCAGACAGUUCCCUCCUUAGAACUGUGAGGACACAGAGGUCUCGGCCACCUGCCUGCCGCGUGCCGCAGCGUUAAGUGGAAUGCAGGCCGCUGUCCGGGGCUUG
rnacentral:sRNA from 1 species